UACAGAGGGUGCGAGCGUUAAUCGGAAUUACUGGGCGUAAAGCGUGCGUAGACGGCUAUCUAAGUCGGGUGUGAAAGCCCCGGGCUCAACCUGGGGAAUUGCGCGCGAAACGGGGGGGGCUUGAGUUCGGGAGAGGAGCGUGGAAUUCCCAGUGUAGAGGUGAAAUUCGUAGAUAUGGGGAGGAACACCGGUGGCGAAGGCGGCCACCUGGACGGUAACUGACGCUGAGACGCGAAAGCGUGGGGAGCAAACAGG
rnacentral:rRNA from 1 species